CUGGGAAUUGCAUUUGAAACUGGAAAACUAGAGUGUGUGAGAGGGGGGUAGAAUUCCAAGUGUAGCGGUGAAAUGCGUAGAGAUUUGGAGGAAUACCAGUGGCGAAGGCGGCCCCCUGGCACAACACUGACGCUCAGGUGCGAAAGCGUGGGGAGCAAACAGGAUUAGAUACCCUGGUAGUCCACGCCGUAAACGAUGUCUACUAGCUGUUCGUGGUCUUGUACUGUGAGUAGCGCAGCUAACGCACUAAGUAGACCGCCUGGGGAGUACGGUCGCAAGAUUAAAACUCAAAUGAAUUGACGGGGGCCCGCACAAGCGGUGGAGCAUGUGGUUUAAUUCGACGCAACGCGAAGAACCUUACCUACUCUUGACAUCUAGCGAAGAUUGUAGAGAUACGAUUGUGCCUUCGGGAACGCUAAGACAGGUGCUGCAUGGCUGUCGUCAGCUCGUGUUGUGAAAUGUUGGGUUAAGUCCCGCAACGAGCGCAACCCUUAUCCUUAGUUGCCAGCACGUAAUGGUGGGAACUCUAGGGAGACUGCCGGUGAUAAACCGGAGGAAGGUGGGGACGACG
rnacentral:rRNA from 1 species